AUUGAACGCUGGCGGCAGGCCUAACACAUGCAAGUCGAGCGAGCGGCGGACGGGUGAGUAAUGUCUGGGAAACUGCCUGAUGGAGGGGGAUAACUACUGGAAACGGUAGCUAAUACCGCAUACCAUCAGAUGUGUCCAGAUGGGAUUAGAUAGUAGGUGGGGUAACGGCUCACCUAGGCGACGAUCACUAGCUGGUCUGAGAGGAUGACCAGCAACACUGGAACUGAGCCACGGUCCAGAAGCCGACGGGAGGCAGCAGUGGGGAAGAUUGCACAAUGGGCGAAAGCCUGAUGAAGCCAUGCCGCGGGUGUGAAGAAGGCCUUCGGGUUGUAAAGCACUUUCAGCGGGGAGGCGUUACCCGCAGAAGAAGCACCGGCUAACUCCGUGCCAGCAGCCGCGGUAAUUC
rnacentral:rRNA from 1 species